AGAGUUUGAUCCUGGCUCAGGACGAACGCUGGCGGCACGCCUAACACAUGCAAGUCGAACGGAACUGUUGAGGAAGAUUUCUUCGGAAUGAUUUCUUUUCAGUUUAGUGGCGGACGGGUGAGUAACGCGUGAGGAACCUGCCUUCCAGAGGGGGAUAACGUUUGGAAACGAACGCUAAUACCGCGUACCUUAUAAAGAUCGCAUGAUUUUUAUAAGAAAGGAGCAAUCCGCUGGAAGAUGGCCUCGCGUCCAAUUAGCUAGUUGGUGAGGUAACGGCCCACCAAGGCGACGAUUGGUAGCCGGACUGAGAGGUUGAACGGCCACAUUGGGACUGAGACACGGCCCAGACUCCUACGGGAGGCAGCAGUGGGGAAUAUUGCACAAUGGGGGAAACCCUGAUGCAGCGAUGCCGCGUGAGGGAAGAAGGUUUUCGGAUUGUAAACCUCUGUUUUAAGUGAAGAUAAUGACGGUAGCUUAAGAGGAAGCCACGGCUAACUACGUGCCAGCAGCCGCGGUAAUACGUAGGUGGCAAGCGUUGUCCGGAAUUACUGGGUGUAAAGGGAGCGUAGGCGGGGAUGCAAGUUGAAUGUCAAAGCCAGGGGCUCAACCCCUGAUCGCGUUCAAAACUGUAUCUCUUGAGUGAAGUAGAGGCAGGCGGAAUUCCUAGUGUAGCGGUGAAAUGCGUAAAUAUUAGGAGGAACACCAGUGGCGAAGGCGGCCUGCUGGGCUUUAACUGACGCUGAGGCUCGAAAGCGUGGGUAGCAAACAGGAUUAGAUACCC
rnacentral:rRNA from 1 species